GAUGAACGCUGGCGGCGUGCCUAAUACAUGCAAGUCGAGCGAACAGACGAGGAGCUUGCUCCUCUGACGUUAGCGGCUGACGGGUGAGUAACACGUGGAUAACCUACCUAUAAGACUGGGAUAACUUCGGGAAACCGGAGCUAAUACCGGAUAACAUGUUGAACCGCAUGGUUUAACAGUGAAAGACGGUCUUGCUGUCACUUAUAGAUGGAUCCGCGCCGCAUUAGCUAGUUGGUAAGGUAACGGCUUACCAAGGCAACGAUGCGUAGCCGACCUGAGAGGGUGAUCAGCCACACUGGAACUGAGACACGGUCCAGACUCCUACGGGAGGCAGCAGUAGGGAAUAUUCCACAAUGGGCGCAAGCCUGACCGAGCAACACCGCGUGAGUGAAGAAGGUCUUCGGAUCGUAAAACUCUGUUAUUGGGAAAGAACAACUGUGUAAGUAACUAUGGACGUCUUGACGGUACCUAAAGAGAAAGCAACGGCUAACUACGUG
rnacentral:rRNA from 1 species